AAAAAUGGAAGUGGCUGAGCAAGCGGAGGUUUUUUUUUUCUUUUUUUUCUUUUUUUUGUUUUUUUUACUUGAAACAAAGUCUCAGCACAGCAGCCCGAUGAGAGGCGAUGCCAGGCAGGCGACGGUCUGAGAGGAGGACUAAGGCGCGAGCGCAGAUGUGGUGUUUUGAUCUUCCCUGAGGACUCAGCAGUCAGAGCUCACUUCAGAGUUGAAGCUGGUUGAGUCAAAAGAGCCCUCUGCAUGAUGAUUUCAAUGAUGCUGUGAAGAAACAGAGAGUCCUGAGCUGCUGGGCACUGCAUCCAGGGUUUGUACUGUGUGUUUUUGUGGCUGCUUGCAGACUGUGCAACUUCCAAAUCUUCACUCAGAUGUAAUAACGAAGGCAAUCACAGCAUAUACUGGUGUGUCCUAGUCACAAAACAUUGGAGACUGGAGGCUAGCUCUGUUGAGGAGUGCUGUUUCUUGUAGUCUGUUGAUAUGAACAGAUCUCUCAUCUCAGACAUACCCACCAACAGACCUUCCGAAUGCAGCAGGAAAGGGCAGGCAGAAGUCACAGUCUCAGCUCUUUUCCUUCUCUAGUCAAAUUGUUUUAAAGGUGCUGGUACAAAAUUAAGAAGUGCUUCCUAUCCAGUGAGACAUGGUAGGUAAGGAGAAUAAAUCUCAGAACAGGUUUUCACAGGUACACUGUUAAAACUUGUGGGAUAGGCAUGAUGUCCGAAGACUUCUUGUGUGGUAUGCUCUGUGGAUGUGCUUGGUGUGAGUAUGAAGGCCUGAAGAGAAUGAGAAUGCUUUAUAGGACUUAGCUGGAAAGAAGCUCUGCAGGACCUGGGGGUCCUGGUGGACAGCAGGUUGGCCAUGAGCCAGCAGUGUGCCCUUGUGGCCCAGAAGACCAAUGAUAUCCUGGGAUUCAUUAAAAACAGCAGGUCAAGGGAGGUGAUCCUCACCCUCUCUGCUCUGCCCUGGUGAGGCCACAUCUGGUGCGCUGUGUCCAGUUCUGGGCUCCUCAGUUCUAGAAAGACUUGUAGAGAGAGGGGGCUCUCUGCAGAGGGCCACAAAGGUGAUUAGGGGUCUGGAGCAUCUCCCUCUUGAGGAAGGGCUGAGAGACCUGGGGCUGUUCAGCUAGGACAAGAGGAGGCUGAGGGGGAUUUAUCAGUGUUUACAAAGGGCAGGAGUCAAUUGGAUAGAGCCAGGCUCUUUGCAGUGAUGCUCAGUGGCAGAACAAGGGGUAAUAGGCAUAAACUGGAACUCUGGAAGUUCCAUAGGAACAUGAGAAAAAACUUUACUGUGAGGGUGACAGAACACUGGAACAGGCUGCCCAGAGAGGCUGUGGAGUCAUCUUCUCUGGAUAAAUUCAAAAUCCACCUGGAUGCUUUCCUGUGCAACCUACUCUAGGGAACCUGCUUUAGCAGGGGAUUGGACUAAAUUAUCUGCAGAUGUCCCUUCCUACCCCUACAAUUCUGUGAUUCUGUGACUGAUUUUUGGAAGUGUCUUGAAGUGAGUAUAGAUAUAGUCACAGACAAUCUUAAUAAUGUAUUAUUCUAAGUAAAAAAUAGAAUGGGCAAGGCUGUGUGAGUAAAGAGUGUGUGCAUGCUCUUUCUCUGAGCAAAUUCCCACUUUUUCCUUACUUUUUUUUUCCGGAAUUUGGCAUUUCUAUACUUCUGCCUACAAAGCUAUUAGUUUGUACUGUGUCAAAUGUUUGUGCUGUGAUCCUGUCCUCCACAGGAAUGAGGGGUGGGGAGUGGAAGCAAUUCAAUAAAGUUGGAUUUUCAUGAAUUAGAGAAUCUCCAAACACUUGGACGCUUAGAUGAAGCAAAUUUGCAUUAUUUACCUUUAUCCCCCAUUUUUUUUAAUUGUUGCUACUUAUUUUUAAAUAUGAUCUUUUUUUUCCUCUUUGUUAUUGAAAUGUAUUUAUGAUAUUACAUUGAAUAAUGAUACCUUUUUCAACUAUAGAUUAUAAGUGUUUUUAAAGAUGUCACUGCUGCUAUCUUUAACAAAUAGAUGAAAUUACUUUGUCAGGACUACUAAGGAGGAAACAAUAUAAUAAACAUGGAAACAGAA